rnacentral:tRNA from 1 species
ACCUGGGUGGCUCAGUCGGUUGAGCAUCCGACUUCCGCUCAGGUAAUGAUCUCACAGUCUGUGGGUUCGAGCCCUGCAUCGGGUU